GACAGAGGGUGCAAACGUUGUUCGGAAUUACUGGGCGUAAAGCGUGUGUAGGCGGCCAUGUAAGUCGGAUGUGAAAUCCCUCGGCUCAACUGAGGAACUGCCUUUGAAACUGUACGCUUGAGGCCGGGAGGGGGGUAGAAUUCCACGUGUAGCAGUGAAAUGCGUAGAUAUGUGGAGGAACACCGAUGGCGAAGGCAGCCCCCUGGGUCAAGACUGACGCUCAUGCACGAAAGCGUGGGGAGCAAACAGG
rnacentral:rRNA from 1 species